rnacentral:rRNA from 1 species
UGGGGAAUAUUGGACAAUGGGCGAAAGCCUGAUGCAGCGACGCCGCGUGAGGGAUGACGGCCUUCGGGUUGUAAACCUCUUUCAGUAGGGAAGAAGCGAAAGUGACGGUACCUGCAGAAGAAGCGCCGGCUAACUACGUGC